CAUUCUUUUGGCAGGUUGCCCAGUGCCUUGAGGCUUUGGCUAAUGGGCCCAGACGAUAAUCUCUACCAAAUGGCAGUAACCUAACAUUGGAAAAAUCCUCUCUCCUUUCUGUUAAUUCUACUGAUGUAAAGACAGAAAAAGGAAUUAAAGCGUACUUUAAAACUGAGUUUAAACUGAAAAAUUGACCUUGACUUCAUGACGCAAGUCUUAGAAUUAAGCCAGCCAUUUGUUUUGGGAGGCUGCUAGAGCUGGCUUGCUUGAUCCUCAUUCUGUUUAACGAAAUCAAGAUUUCCCUGUGCAAACUGUUCCUGUUGGUGAGGACAGGCUGCAGUGUCUGUGAUUUUUUUUGCAGAAGGGGCAAAACUAUGCUAAUGUGAUACCAGCCCACAAUUUUAUGCAAGGCCUUCCAACCAUUUGAACAGGAUUCCAGGUGCAACUCCCUGUAUUAAGUUGUUUAACAUCAGCAGGAUGAAAUCUAGAAGAAUACUACCACCCGCUGGUCUUUCCUUUUCAGGACAGGAUUUUCAAAUUUCAGGUUCUUGGAAAAUCUGCACAAAUGUCAGUAACAGAAGUCAAGGGCUUAUGUUUAAGUGAGCAUCGAUCUGCAUCGACCACAGAACUGGUACUGACGAGAAGGUCCAUUUUGUAAUUCAGUGACUCUCACUAAAGGACUCACAGGAGAAAUUUGAGAAUUUAGAGCCAACAACAAUUUUGCUUCCUCUUUUCCAACAAUGAGAGCUAUGUGAAUAAUCAUGUUUGUCUUUUUGCACAGCCUGCCAAAAGUCUUGGACUCAAAAUUCAUGUCCAGUCACAGGGAAUGCAUAAACCCUUGAAGUUGGCAAAUAUUUUCCUUCUUGUCUGCUUGGUUCUGAUAUAUCUUUCAUUUCUAUUCUUUUUGUUUUUUUUUUCAUUCUAUGUCCUGUAACUUGAGCUCAUAUGCCAAAAUAAAGUGUUUAAAACUGCUUUCUUUUGUAGGGCAGAAAUUGCCAGUAUGGGACAAAAAAUAGAAGCAUUGAGGGUGGUAGUCAAUGGACAACUGUGUUGGACAACAGUGUUGUCAUAAACCUCUUCUACCAGGUAUCGAUAGACUGUUUUGCUGCUGAUGGAGUGAAGUUCAAGGACCUAUGAUCUCUUGGUUGACCUGGAUCUGAUCUCAAAAUGAAUGCCUUCCAGUACUUUCCUUCUGUCUUUGUGUACA